UACGAAGGGGGCGAGCGUUGUUCGGAUUUACUGGGCGUAAAGGGUGCGUAGGCGGUUGUUUAAGUCUGUCGUGAAAUCCCCGGGCUCAACCUGGGAAUGGCGAUGGAUACUGGGCAGCUAGAGUGUGUCAGAGGAUGGUGGAAUUCCCGGUGUAGCGGUGAAAUGCGUAGAGAUCGGGAGGAACAUCAGUGGCGAAGGCGGCCAUCUGGGACAACACUGACGCUGAAGCACGAAAGCGUGGGGAGCAAACAGG
rnacentral:rRNA from 1 species